rnacentral:rRNA from 1 species
CCUACGGGGGGCAGCAGUGAGGAAUAUUGGUCAAUGGACGCAAGUCUGAACCAGCCAUGCCGCGUGCAGGAAGACGGCUCUAUGAGUUGUAAACUGCUUUUGUACGAGGGUAAACGCAGAUACGCGUAUCUGUCUGAAAGUAUCGUACGAAUAAGGAUCGGCUAACUCCGUGCCAGCAGCCGCGGUAAUACGGAGGAUUCAAGCGUUAUCCGGAUUUAUUGGGUUUAAAGGGUGCGUAGGCGGUCGGAGAAGUUAGAGGUGAAAUCCCGGGGCUCAACUUCGGAAUUGCCUCUGAUACUGUUCGGCUAGAGAGUAGUAGCGGUAGGCGGAAUGUAUGGUGUAGCGGUGAAAUGCUUAGAGAUCAUACAGAACACCGAUUGCGAAGGCAGCUUACCAGGCUACUUCUGACGUUGAGGCACGAAAGCGUGGGUAGCAAACAGGAUUAGAUACCCGGGUAGUC